rnacentral:rRNA from 1 species
GAUGAGCGCUGGCGGCGUGCCUAAUACAUGCAAGUCGAGCGAACAGACGAGGAGCUUGCUCCUCUGACGUUAGCGGCGGACGGGUGAGUAACACGUGGAUAACCUACCUAUAAGACUGGGAUAACUUCGGGAAACCGGAGCUAAUACCGGAUAAUAUAUUGAACCGCAUGGUUCAAUAGUGAAAGACGGUUUUGCUGUCACUUAUAGAUGGAUCCGCGCCGCAUUAGCUAGUUGGUAAGGUAACGGCUUACCAAGGCGACGAUGCGUAGCCGACCUGAGAGGGUGAUCGGCCACACUGGAACUGAGACUCGGUCCAGACUCCUACGGGAGGCAGCAGUAGGGAAUCUUCCGCAAUGGGCGAAAGCCUGACGGAGCAACGCCGCGUGAGUGAUGAAGGUCUUCGGAUCGUAAAACUCUGUUAUUAGGGAAGAACAAAUGUGUAAGUAACUAUGCACGUCUUGACGGUACCUAAUCAGAAAGCCACGGCUAACUACGUG